rnacentral:rRNA from 1 species
GUGGCGGACGGGUGAGUAACGCGUGGGUAACCUGCCUUGUACUGGGGGACAACAGUUGGAAACGACUGCUAAUACCGCAUAAGCCCACGGGUCGGCAUCGAUCUGAGGGAAAAGGAGCAAUCCGCUUUGAGAUGGCCUCGCGUCCGAUUAGCUAGUUGGUGAGGUAACGGCCCACCAAGGCGACGAUCGGUAGCCGGACUGAGAGGUUGAACGGCCACAUUGGGACUGAGACACGGCCCAGACUCCUACGGGAGGCAGCAUG